GCACCUUGUUCCCUUCAUAGGCCUCUGGUCGUCCCUAAAGGCUCUCUGUUCCCUUCAUAGGCCUCUGGUCGUCCCUAAAGGCUCUCUGUUCCCUUCAUAGGCCUCUGGUCGUCCCUAAUGGCACCUUGUUCCCUUCAUAGGCCUCUGGUCGUCCCUAAAGGCACUCUGUUCCCUUCAUAGGCCUCUGGUCAAUAGUAGUGCACUGUAUAGUACAGCCGGGACGUUAAACCGAUCAUUAUCGACACCGGAAAUACCGAUCACUUAUCGUAUUAAACCGAUCAUUAUCGACACCGGAAAUACAGAUCACUUAUCGUAUUAAACCGAUCAUUACCGACACCGGAAAUACCGAUCACUUAUCGUAUUAAACCGAUCAUUAUCGACACCGGAAAUACCGAUCACUUAUCGUAUUAAACCGAUCAUUAUCGACACCGGCAAUACCGAUCAUUAUCGACACCGGCAAUACCGAUCACUUAUCGUAUUAAACCGAUCAUUAUCGACACCGGCAUUACCGAUCACUUAUCGUAUUAAACCGAUCAUUAUCGACACCGGCAUUACCGAUCACUUAUCGUAGGCAGUAACCUAUACUAGAGAAAUGUGAAGUUUGAAAUGAAGUAAGUUUGCCAAUAUGGGUGAUUUGUUAAUGGGACAAUUGACUGCUACAACCAUCUAACUAGUAGUUUAAAGGAGAAUAAUAUAAACUGUGGUGCAGAUUCAUGUUAUAAACAGAUUGUUCUAUUUAUCAGUAUCGCAUCAAUUCAGGCAAUUUCUCACCAUAUGGAUUUUGGUCCACGUCACCCAGCUCUACUAUUGAGGGAAUAGGGUGCCGUUUUGGACUCGGCCCAUGUCUGUCUCUGUAUACUGUCUGCAUGGUGUCUCUGUUUCUCCAUCCCUCUCUCUAGCUCUGGUCCUGGGCGUCAGUGAAGGAAGGCUGAGCAGUAACACCCUGGACCAGAGCUAGAGUAUCUCUUCUGUCUGGAGGAUUUCUGAUGCUUUAAGGCAAAAGCUGAGAAUGUUUUCUGAUUUUAACAGUUUUUCUACCGACUUUAAACAAUAAAGUUUAAAACAUGACACGUUUUAUAUUUUCAUUUGUAUUGUUUACUCAAAUGUUGCCAUUGUAUUGUGAAUAGCAUUAGCUCAACUCUGUCCUCUUGUGGUUGAAAUGGUCGGUGUUAUUUCAUAGUCACAUGAUACUAGAGUCUCCCUCUCAGCAUUAAUAAAUUCAUAAUCUCUUGUGGAGAGACUCAAGUAACAUCUGACACAAUUAUUCUCAAUUGUUGUAGUUCCGNNNNNNNNNNGUUUGAAAUGAAGUAAGUUUGCCAAUAUGGGUGAUUUGUUAAUGGGACAAUUGACUGCUACAACCAUCUAACUAGUAGUUUAAAGGAGAAUAAUAUAAACUGUGGUGCAGAUUCAUGUUAUAAACAGAUUGUUCUAUUUAUCAGUAUCGCAUCAAUUCAGGCAAUUUCUCACCAUAUGGAUUUUGGUCCACGUCACCCAGCUCUACUAUUGAGGGAAUAGGGUGCCGUUUUGGACUCGGCCCAUGUCUGUCUCUGUAUACUGUCUGCAUGGUGUCU
rnacentral:lncRNA from 13 species